GAUGAAGAUCGCAGCGAAAUGCGAUAAGUAGUGUGAAUUGCAGAAUUCAGUGAAUCAUCGAAUCUUUGAACGCACAUUGCGCCCCUUGGUAUCCCGAGGGGCAUGCCUGUUCGAGCGUCAUUUCACCACUCAAGCCUGGCUUGGUGUUGGGCGACGUCCUCUUUGGGGACGCGCCUCGAAACGCUCGGCGGCGUGGCACCGGCUUUAAGCGUAGCAGAAUCUUUCGCUUUGGAAGUCGGGGCCCCGUCUGCCGGAAGACCUGCUCGCAAGGUUGACCUCGGAUCAGGCAGGGAUACCCGCUGAACUUAAGCAUAUCAAUAAGCGGAGGA
rnacentral:misc_RNA from 1 species